ACCAUUUCCCAAGUUUUUCCAGGGACUGAUGGCAUUGUCCGAGCUGCCGAAGUCAAGGUUAAAGACAGUAUCUAUGUUCGCCCGGUAACUAAGCUGGUGGAACUUCCCAAAGUUCCUGAGGACUCAGAUGAUACUGUUUCAAAAUAGAAGGACUUUAGCAUGUGUGUAUUUCCAUAUAAAUACAGGGGCGGCUGUUAAAAGUCCGCUUGGUCACUUUAACUGUUUAGACUACGUUACCCAUGAUGCACCUCGGUAUCUGUACUUCCGGUUGGGAACGUGUUCAGCGCAGUUCUGCACAGAUGAGAGGUGUGUCGGAGGUGUCAGAGGAUUAACGUUUUUCCUUGCAUUCCUGUGUGUGUUAACCCUGUGUGCUUGCUUAUCAUAUGACCACACACUCAUAUACACACUCACACUCCCUUUACCUGCAUGUGAAUGCUGUAAUGCCAUCGCUUCCCCACCAAAGCUGUACAUCCUGUUGAUGUCAUCUGCCACCUCCUUAUUAAAGUUAUUUGAACUACGUCACUGUGGAGUACCAUUCCUUCUGACCGAGGACAACUCAGUUGAAGCGUGAUCGGCAAUCAGUGCAAACAUAUAUUACAAUAUAUAUAUAUAUAUAUAUAUACAUACAUAAAAGAAAGUUGUGUUUUCAAAAUUGGAGUUCAAGUUAUUUUUACUUCCAAUAGUGUUAACAUACUACACAGGUCAUGAACAAGAUUUUUUAAAAUUUUCAUUGUAAGUGGGCUAAAGCAGUUAAUUAAAAGUAGUCAAACAUAAAUGUAAAUGCUGUGAUUUGAUUAUUUUAAUAAACCAUGUAACUUGGAUGGAUUCGAUGCUGGCGUAACCACAGUGCACACGUCUGCUGUUGCUCACAGUGGUUUGUGUGUUCACUCAGACACAUGAAAAAUUAGAGGAAAAUUGCCCCCUCCCUGACCAGGUUACGGUCCUUUCCUGAGUUUCCGGUGUGUGGCAGCGUUUGUGCUGAAGAGAAAGCGUGUGUGUUGAUACCCCCCUCUCCCUGGAGCCCUGGACCCCCUCCCAACUAACUGUACAUACAUAUAGCACUGAGGUGUUCUCCGUUGUAAAUAAAUGUCUUCUUUUGUUUGCAAAGAACUCUAUGUGUAAGUCCGUCCGGUAGCCAUGACAGUGUUGUUCAGAAGAAAAAGGAAAAGAAGAAAUCUACAUGGGCCAAAUCUGAGUGAGGCUAGUUUGUUUAUUAAGGAUGUGCUUUGUUUCAUACAGUCAAACAAAAACAGUUUAUUAUGCUUUAUUUAGUGAGGAGGAAAAGAUUUGGGUUUAUGUUUAAAGGGGGAAAGAGUUGCUAAGGUGAAGUAAAAUCAAAUAAAGACAAUGUGGAAAGGGAACAUGAUAAAUGUCAGUGUUACACAUUUAAAAUAUACCACCAUUCGUCUGUGUUUAAGUAUCCUAAUAUCUUAGACUGUAUUUAAAUACACUGAGAUAUUAAAUGAAAACGAUCCAGCACUUACGUACAGAUAUUUUUCACUCCAUCAGACACUUGUGUUAAACAGAUCCUUUAAUUUUAGUGCACGUUCUGUAAUGUAAGUACAGAAAAUUAAAAAAGUAGCUCUUCUGAUGACAUUUCUGGGGUCUCCUCCUCCUGUGUGACCAGUCAUAACAUGUAUCAGCUGCUCGCUAUCAUAGAUGGUGUCCAGAAACAAUAGGGACUUUCUAAAUAACUGCCAAACUUUCUGUGGAAAUCCUUUUCUUGUUGUGUCUGUGUGUGUAUGAGACAAAGAGACAGUUAGCUUCGCUUCACAUGAGUGUUCUUUCUGAAAAAGUUCUAAACUUUGGUCACUUAAUUUGAAAAUUUAAACUCUUAAUCUAAUCCAUAUUAAUUCUAUGUGAAAUUAAAUAUUAAAUUGAGUGUUUAGAGCAGUCUGAAGCCUCAGUAUUUAGGUUAAAGGAAAUACUUGUACAGACACAGACCUUUAAUUUUUUUAAGUGUGUGGCUAAAAC
ensembl:lncRNA